rnacentral:rRNA from 1 species
UACGAAGGGGGCUAGCGUUGCUCGGAAUCACUGGGCGUAAAGGGCGCGUAGGCGGCCUUCUAAGUCGAACGUGAAAUCCCCGGGCUCAACCCGGGAACUGCAUCCGAUACUGGAAGGCUUGAAUCCGGGAGAGGGAUGCGGAAUUCCUGGUGUAGCGGUGAAAUGCGUAGAGAUCAGGAAGAACACCGGUGGCGAAAGCGCUCUGCUGGACCUUAACUGACACUGAGGGACGAAAGCUAGGGGAGCGAAUGGG